UUUUUCAGCCUGUUUUUAUCCACUGCUGGACGUUGGCCUCCCCGAUUCUCUUCCAUUCCGAAGAUUCGUUUCCACUUGUUGCCAACUUGUGCCUGCAAUUCUCUUUAUACCAUUAUUCCAUCUCUCUGGUGGUCUACCUCUAGGUCUUGUUUUAGGUGUUAACCGAUGUACGGG